AUUUUCAUGUUUUAUUCUACGACAUACAACACACCAGUAAUAACCCGCUUGUUUAUGGUCGGUGGCUAACAAGUUUCAUUGGCAGAGACAUUAAACGUCUUCACAUAUAAAAAUCUAACAAAUAAUGCAUCACGAUCUCUAAUGACGUGACGUUGUCUACAAUGGCAGAUGGUUUUGGGUAAACUGUUUAUUUUAUGACAUGAUCACCGCGCUGAUUAUUUUUAUUUUAUUUUUAAUCACCUGUUUUAUUUCUGUUGCACAGCAUACGAUGCCUUCUAAGGAAAUGAGACGAUGCCAGGUUUUCACAACCUGGGCUUUCAGCGUCAAUGUGUGCCUUGCUUUGAUGUACUGCAUAUAAGGCAAAGAUCAAAAUAACAGCAAAUAAAUGCUCAUGCACUUUACAGCUCAUGGAUGAAUAGUUCAGUCACAGCAGAGGACGAGUCCCAGGGGUCCCCAUGCAGCUCUGCAAGAAAGAGAACUCUAUGUAUAAUCACAACCUGGAUUAAUUAGAGGAUGACAAAAAUAGAUCAACUACACUACAGUAUAUCUGCAGUGAGGUUUCCGGUAUGAGUCAACGGCGGUGCAGUGCAGCGGGUCUUCACAUUGGGGACCGUAGUGCUCCAGAGAGCCUGUGAUAAUGGU